rnacentral:rRNA from 1 species
CACGUGCUACAAUGGACGGUACAAAGAGCUGCAAGACCGCGAGGUGGAGCUAAUCUCAUAAAACCGUUCUCAGUUCGGAUUGUAGGCUGCAACUCGCCUACAUGAAGCUGGAAUCGCUAGUAAUCGCGGAUCAGCAUGCCGCGGUGAAUACGUUCCCGGGCCUUGUACACACCGCCCGUCACACCACGAGAGUUUGUAACACCCGAAGUCGGUGGGGUAACCUUUUGGAGCCAGCCGCCUAAGGUGGGACAGAUGAUUGGGGUGAAGUCGUAACAAGGUAGCCGUAUCGGAAGGUGCGGUUGGAUACACACUCC